rnacentral:lncRNA from 1 species
AUGGCAUAAAAAAUAAAGAGACGUGUGGAAACAUGUAAGGAAAUUAAGAGGAGUAUGAAAAAAGGACUCCUCUUCUUUAGCACCUAAAUUAAAUGGGGUAGAACAUUUAUUUGUGCAUGGCUUUUAAUAUGGAGGAGGUUAAUCUUAUAUGGAACUCUUCCAUAAAAAUUAGAUAAGCCACCUAUUUAAUUAUAGAUUCAAAUCCAAUCACAUUAGGUCAAAGCAACAAGUUAAAAGGUUAGUACAAACAUCUUUGUACUGAACCCAAUUGAAAACUUGGGUUAAUUCAUAUGCUAGCAAUUCAAUUAACCUAUUGAAUUUAUAAUAAA